CCUACGGGAGGCAGCAGUGAGGAAUAUUGGUCAAUGGGCGCAAGCCUGAACCAGCCAAGUAGCGUGAAGGAUGACUGCCCUACGGGUUGUAAACUUCUUUUGUAAAGGAGUAAAGUUAGACACGUGUACCUUUUUGUAUGUACUUUAUGAAUAAGGAUCGGCUAACUCCGUGCCAGCAGCCGCGGUAAUACGGAGGAUCCGAGCGUUAUCCGGAUUUAUUGGGUUUAAAGGGAGCGUAGAUGGGUUGUUAAGUCAGUUGUGAAAGUUUGCGGCUCAACCGGAAAAUUGCAAUUGAUACUGGUAGUCUUGAGUACAGGUGAGGUAGGCGGAAUUCGUGGUGUAGCGGUGAAAUGCUUAGAGAUCACGAAGAACACCGAUUGCGAAGGCAGCUUACUAAACUGCAACUGACAUUGAGGCUCGAAAGUGUGGGGAUCAAACAGGAUUAGAUACCCCAGUAGUC
rnacentral:rRNA from 1 species